GGAUAUCUACAAACACUCAGAGUGACAAGGAUCUUUGUGAUAUCUGCUGAAGUCCAUGAGCCUUGACCCCAACUUCUGAGGGAGGAAUCAGACCUGGAGAAAAGUUCCUGCAAUUCAAAGAAACCAGGUGGCAACUUCUGGAAGAAGAAUGGUGAAACUCAAACCUAGACUUCCAGCCUGAAUGUCCAUCAGGCCUUGUCUCUCUUCAGAACUG